GGUAUCAUUUUUUAUAGUGAUGUACACUCAAAACUCUUUUUUUUUUUUUUUCUUUUUAUAAGUGACUAGCUAUGAGACUCUUUCACUGCUUAUGCUGUAGUUGGUGGUCAGUGCCUGUCUUUCUUUUUUCUUUUCACAUCCUCUUACUCCAAGUAAGGCUACAUGCAUGUUGAUAGUUUCAUAGUUUGUCCUUUUUCAUUCAUUAUGGUAAAAUUUAAAAAAAAAAAAAAUUAAAAAAAUUUAAAAAAAGAUCAGACCAGAAGCUCGUGGAGCGUCUGGUGUUUUAAUAAGAAGUGACGACGGAUGGACCAAUAUAAAAUAUUAUGCAAAUGUGAAUGAUCAAAUUUAAUCUUUUUCUAUAGUUUUCCUUGCAAAACUUUUUCAAAGGGGCAAUAAAAUUGCCAAUUUUUUUUUUUUUUUUUUGACUUUCUUUGAGAAGUGUGAUGCUUUUAAAAGUCUGACUGUUUCCUCAGUUAUGAAGAUUGACUGAACGGAGGAAAAUAAUUCAGUUAUUCUGUAUAGAUGCUUUGUUUUUGUUUGUUUGUUUUUUUAACACACGGACUUCUGUUAAUCAAUUUGUGCUUCUGUGACCAGUUGGAGCAUAAAAUACACAAAAUACCGUAAAUUCUCAAAUAGUGGACAGGCCUUAAAUUUACCUCAACUAAAGAGAAAACUUCACCUUCAUUUACUCACCAGUUGUACAUCAAAUCACGGCUGCAACGAGUGAUUAUGUUCAUUAUCUAUCAAUCUACCCUAUCCUCCUUCUAUGAAUUGAAUCAUUAGUCUCAGGAAUCACAAGUUUGCUCACAUUUAAGAAGCUAGAACCAACAAAUAUUUGCCAUUUUUGCUUGAUAAAUGACUUAUUUGAUUCCUUUUGAUCAAACGAAUCAAUUAAACUAUUUGUUUCAAUCCUACAAGUGUUUUUAGUCGGUGCACUAAUUCUGUUUUUGAGAGUAUAUUUAAUACAAACUCAAAACCUGCUUAUAGUUAGUGUGAAAUAUGGAAUUUGCAGGAAGUAACUGAGGAUAAUUUAGAUACCGAUACGGACGUUUUUCACUGUUUUCUGAUGUUUUUAUAGACGAAACGGUUGAUUAAUAAUAAAUAAAUCGGAUGGAUAUGCUGAGUUUAAACCCCGCUGUGUAUUCUGUUAUUUGAGAAGUAUCCACUAUUAGAGAAUUUACGGUAACUUCCAGACUUCAUCUCUUAAAAACUUCACACAGUCGUCGCCGAGUCUCGCUUUGAAAACUCAUUUAAGUGUAUCACUUUAAGAUGUAAAAUGUUAUUGUACAGUUCAGCCACUGUUUUUUUUUUCCUCUUUUUAAUCCAGCGUGCUGCAGUUUGUUCCUUUGUCUCACAGUGAUAUUUGAUUUCAAGGUGGUUUUUUUUGUAUUUCUGGAACAUUUAUCUCGCCUCUUUGUUGUGUUUUAUCACAGUUCUCAUCUACAGGCUUCAAGGUCAAACAAUGCCGUCUCCUCUUGUUUUUUUUGUUUUUUUUUAAAUCAUCAUUGCACUACAUGUAAAUAAAAUGUCAUUCUGUCAAUAUCUCCUCCUUCAUAUUAUAUGUACAUUGUAAAUGAAACCACAAAUAUUCAGCUGUUUUUUUGUUUUUUUUUCUCUCUCUGUGUUACAGCGACCUGGAUGACUGUUAGUUCUAGUUUUGUACAAUGUACAACCGUUAUCAUAUCAAACUCUCCGACUUCUGUUGUUACCGCGACAUUCUGAGGUUCGUGUCAUUUUCAGCACGUCUGUGUUUUUAUUUUUUUUAACCUUUUUUACCACGGUGACCUACUUCUGCACCCGCCGCCAUGUAUCCGGAUAUUUCAAUAUGUGUUUUUUUUUUUUUAACGUUUUGUUGAAAACCAACCAAUAAAUGCAUGUUCUCCACAAACCAGCACACUUGUUGAAGGUGAUAGGUUGUUUUUUCUUGUUUUUUUGUUUUUUUUAAUUACCCACAUGUGACCUUUCUGCUUUUUAUAUUCGUCCAUCCAGCCGUGAAAAAGGGUUCAGUGUUUUCUUUUAUUUUCUUUUUUUUUUCUCCCCCCGCCCUCUAUGUGGAAAAACAGUUUAGAUGUCAUUCCAGUUUGUAGCUCUGGUUUUUAACUGCAUGAGUAAAGGUGUGUGUAUCUCCAGAUCCUUUUAUAUUUUUUCUCCCCCGCCCUGCCUCACAUCAUGUAAACAAGAAGUAGUUCCUGCUCCCUCAGAGUAAUGCAAUAUGACAAUGGUGUUUGUUUUUUUUUUUAAAUUUUUAAUUUUUCUGGAACUUCAGUCGAGCUAAAUCUCCGAAGCUUGAAAAAAAUUCAUCGCCUCAAUGAGUAAAAUCCAUCAGAUUGUCGCCCGCAACAAAGACUUUUAACUGUCUCCUUAUUCCAGAGUAUUACAAGUACGCGAUACCGUGUGAGUACUGAAAUCCUUCUUGUACUCAUCAUCUUCCACCACUGUGAGCAACAGGAACACCAUGAACCGUAGUGGGAUGAACGUGGAUCUGCGUUACUGUCUGCAUGGCUGCAAGAUACCAUGACAGAGGACACCUUUAAAAAAAAAAAACAAACAAACAGAAGAACAAGCGACUUCAGCAAAUACUUAAAAGGAAAAUAUAUAGUG